rnacentral:rRNA from 1 species
UACGUAGGGUGCAAGCGUUAAUCGGAAUUACUGGGCGUAAAGCGUGCGCAGGCGGUGAUGUAAGACAGAUGUGAAAUCCCUGGGCUCAACCUGGGAACUGCAUUUGUGACUGCAUCGCUGGAGUGCGGCAGAGGGGGAUGGAAUUCCGCGUGUAGCAGUGAAAUGCGUAGAUAUGCGGAGGAACACCGAUGGCGAAGGCAAUCCCCUGGGCCUGCACUGACGCUCAUGCACGAAAGCGUGGGGAG